rnacentral:rRNA from 1 species
UACGUAGGCAACGAGCGUUGUUCGGAAUUACUGGGCGUAAAGCGUGCGCAGGCGGUUUUGUAAGUCUGUUGUGAAAUCCCCGGGCUCAACCUGGGAAUGGCAAUGGAGACUGCAAGGCUAGAGUUUGGCAGAGGGGGGUAGAAUUCCACGUGUAGCAGUGAAAUGCGUAGAGAUGUGGAGGAACACCGAUGGCGAAGGCAGCCCCCUGGGUCAAGAUUGACGCUCAUGCACGAAAGCGUGGGGAGCAAACAGG